rnacentral:lncRNA from 1 species
UUUUUUUUGGAACUUCAAUUUUAUGUACGCUAGACUGCUUAACAUUAUUCACACAGGUUACUGAAGAUGUGUUAAUCUUUUUUCAGUCUUUUACUAUCUGUUCUUUAGCUUGUAUACUUUUUAUUGCUCUGUCUUCAAGUUAACUAAUUCUUUCUGUGCUGUGUCUCAUUUGUUAAUAAUUCAUCCAGUGACUUUUAAGUUUCUGGUAUAGUUUUUAAGUGUUAGAAUUUCUAUAUUUUAAGGGUCUCAAUUUCUCUUCUGAGAUUUCCCAUUCAUCCUUUUGUUUUAAUUAUGACUACCCCCCACUUUAAAGUUAGUCAACGUAUUUUGUCAUUUUUUCUGCUAAAUUAAAAAAAAAACAACUAAGUAAUCCCAGGGUCUAUUUCAAUAGAUUUUUUUUCCUCUUGACUAUGCAUCCCAGUUUUCUGGGUUUUAAAAUAUGUGUCUUAUAAUUUUAAUGAACACAGUAGAUGAUACUUUACAGAGAUAAUAUGUUCUGUUAUGCUCCUCUGUAGAAUUAUUUUUGUUAUAGAAGGUUGAUUAUCUUGAACUUGUGGUAUUCUUAUCUUACUCUUAUAAGAAUGUCUUGCUUUGUUCGCAGAAAAAUCUCUCAGUUCUGGAUCAUACCAUUUACUUCUGAGGUAUGGCUGUUUUUGAGUUUCAGUGGAAGACUCUGACGUUUCAAAUACCAAGGCUCUUUACGUUGUUGGGACCCAAUUUGUUCUCCUCUAUGUUCCAGAUGAGCACACCUUCCAGUCCGUCUGCUGCCAACACCACCUAUAGGGGUCCCACAGUAGCCAUUUUCAUUGGGCUAAACAGCAUAAAGAGGCUAUUGUCGGAGAGCAGAUGCAGGAAAAGAUUUUGCCAAAUGGCAUAUUCUAAGGUGAGCAGGUUUUCACAAAUGGAGCAUUAAUCACAAUCCUCUGAUACUACCAAUUAUGGAAGCAGACCAAGAAUAAACCUGCAAAUGAGAAGAGCCCUUUCCUCCCUUCUCAGAUUAAGAAGGCAAACAUAUUGGAAAUGCAAAAGGAAAACAGAUUUGCUGAAAGAUAGACAUCUUGAGCAGAAAAAGCUUCACUCUUUAAAAAUUAAUAACAAACAUUUUCUUAUUUUUUUUUAACUGGAUGAAUUGUCAGCAUAAAUGCCUUUGAAGGUAUAACUGCAUUAAUUUGUUACCUUAUAUAUAUUUAUUUUAUGGCAUUAUGUAGAACCUUGCUAUCUAAAGUCCAGUUCUAUGAACUAGUAACAUCAGAAUUAUUGAGAGCUUGUUAAAAAUGCAGAAUUGCUAAAGAUUCACUUGGCUAUUUGGUUUUUUGGGGGGUUCCAUAUGAAUUUUAGAAUUUUUUUUCUAUUUCUGUAAAAAUGUUAUUUGAAUUUUGAUAGAGAUUGCAUUGAAUUUAUAGAUUGCUUUAGUUAGAAUGGACACUUUAAUAAUAUUUAUUCUUAAAAAAUAAAAUAGAACUAUCAUAUGGUCCAGCAAUUCCACUUCUGUAUAUAUAGCUAGAGGAAAUAGAAUCAACAUGUUGAAAAAAUAUCUGCACUCUCAUGUUAUUGCAGCAUUAUUCAUAAUAACCAAAAUAUGGAAUUAAACUAAGUGUUCAUCAGUAGAUGAAUGGAUAAAGAAAAUGUGGUAUAUAUACACAAUGGAAUACUAUUCAGCCUUAAAAAAAGAAAAAAAAAUCCAGUCAUUUGUGGCACAUAGAUGAGCCUGGAGGGCAUUAUGUUAAGUGAAAUAAGCCAGACACAGGAAGACAAAUACUGUAUGAUCUCACUUAUAUGUGGAAUCUUAAAAAGUUGAUCUCAUAGAAGUAGAGAGUAGACCGAUGGUUACCAAGGGCUGAGGGUGAGAGUAAAGGAGAUAGAGAAUGGGGAGACGUUGGCUGAAGGGAUCAAAUUUUCACUUCAAUAGGAGAAAUAAGUUCUGGAGAUUGACUGUACAGCAUGGUGACUACAGUCAAUACUAAUGUAUUGUAUAGUUGAAAAUUGCUAAGAGUAAAUUUUUUUGUUUGUUUUUUGAGACAGGGCUUCACUCUGUCACCUAGGCUGAAGUGCAGUGGCAUGAUCUUGGCUCACUGCAGCCUCGACCUCCUGGGCUCAAGUGAUCCCACCUCAGCCUCUCUAGUAGUUAGAACUACAGGCACAUGCCACCAUGCCCACCUAAUUUUUUUUUUUUUUUGUAUUUUUAGUAGAGACAGAGUCUCCAUGUUGUCCAGGCUGGUCUCAAAUUCCUGGGAUCAAGGAACCCAUCCACCUUGGCCUCCCAAAAUGCUGAGAUUACAGACAUCAGUCAAUGCGCCUGGUACUAAGAGUAGAUUUUAAAUGUUCUCAUCAUAAAAAAUGAUAAGUGUGUGAGGUUAUGGGUAUAUUAACCAGCUUGAUUAAUCAUUUCACAGUGUAUACAUAUAUAUCAAAAUAUGUUGUACACCAUGAAUAUACAAUUUUUCAUUUCAAUUAAAACUAUAAUAAAAGUGCAGAACCAUGGGCCCCUUCUCAUAUCUGUUAUGAGAAUCUGCAUUUUACUCAGAAGAUUUGUAUUAAAGUGUGAAAUGCACUACUCUAGAAUUUAAGCUUCUAGAGGGCAGGCAUGUCACAUCUUUCUGUGUUCAUCCAUAUCAUGUAGCACCUGCUAGUAAUGGGAAUCACUCAACAUGCUGGGCACAUGAAGAAUGUUUGUUUACCAUGCUAUUUAACUUUAAAUAUAGUACUGUUGCAUGGAAUUGGUGUUAUUGCUUAGGGAAUUUCAAGUAGAAGAAAAUAUACUAUGUGUUCGCCAGAAAAUAGUGCAUAAAAAUCUAAAUUUCUCAGCUGUCCUUGCAAAAAUCAAGGCCAUGCCCUGAGUCUAACUAGCCAACAGGGUCCAGAUAGAAUUCACAGUCACAGGAUUUCCUGUGCACUCAUUAGGACUGAUUACACAAUUCGUGAGACCUAGAGUAAGAUAAAAUGUGAGGCUUCUUUGUCCAAAACUAACAACUUCAAGAUGGUGACAGCAGAGCAACAAACCAAAAAAAAAGUCUCUUCUCAGCAAGAAAUGAAUGGGUGGGGGCAGUGCUACAGUGUUCUGGUGUCACGCUUAUCAACCAGUGCCAGCUGCACUCUAGCACCUCCCUUCCCUGGCCCUGGCAACUCCUGAAACCAUGUGUGAGAUGGUAGCAUGGUAAGGUGCUAGAGUCUUGGUCAGUCUAUGUCCCUGAGUGACCACGGGGAGCAGAGCCCCUGCUAACACUCUUUAUAUAGUAAAUGAGAAAUACUUUAGUUUCUGCAAACCACUGAGAUUUCAGAAUUCAUUUGUCACCUUCUUGUCAUCUGGCCCGAUUUUACUUAUACAUCAGAAUUGUUGCCAAUCAUACAUGAAUCAAAUUGAGAGGAAGAGAUUGAAAGACAACUGGGAGACUGAGGAAGCAAAUAUGAAGAGUUGGUAUGGAGAACAGAACUGAAAUAUUCAGGCUUGUAACAGAAAAAUAUUCAAGGGAAGAUUGGAAUUUUUAUUUAGAGAAAGUUAAAAAAGGGAGAUGAGAGAAACUUCCACCUGAUGUCUACCUUUUUUCUUAAUUAAUGUGAAAUAACCAAAACACCUGAUAACCAUGGAAAGUGAGCUUAAGAGUUUACGAAGAUGCAUUUUGAAAUAACUACUGUGGAAAACCUUCUAAGAGACCACCAGGAGAUGAAUAAGAGGAUAUGUACCAAAAAGAUCAAGAUGAAUUAACCUUUGGGUGAAGUUGAGUAACCCAACUGUUGGAGCCAGAGGGGAUGGAAGGAAGAUGUGGCCUGAUAUCAUGAACUAAAAAGGUAGUUUGAGUUAAAUUUUAAAGAGUAUCAUCAUUUUGUAAUUGAGAACUGAUUUUUCUGUUAAUAUAAAUCAUGACCAUUUUGACAGUUUCAAGUAGGUUUAAAAAGUCAUACAUGGUGAUUGUCACUUGGGAAAGGGCAUCUGGCCACUUAGAAAGGUCUCCAAAGGUGGCAUUUUCUUUGAUAAAAUUACCACAGUGCAAAUAAUGAUUGUUAUCCCUGAAAACUCAAAAGUCUGAUAUUGUAAGGAAAAAUCGAAAUGUCUAGCAGACUAAGAUAGAGUAAUCACAUUCUCUCCCUCUAUCCAAACUGCAUAGGAAGCUAAUUUAAAACUGUAUUGAUAAUUGACUAUAUUUGCCCCAAAGAAAUGAAGAUAAUUGCAGACACUUAUUAAGUGUUCCCUAUGUGCCUGAUACCCUUCUAAAUGCUUUACAUUUAUUUCUUGAAAUCUCACAACAACCAUGAAAGCAGAAUUCUUGUUGUCUUCAUUUUCUCAGGUAAGAAUAGAGACAGACUAACUUGUCCAAGGCUGCAUAAGUAAUAAAUAGUCUAUGAUUUCAAAUGUUUAUGAUUUCAAAUGUUUGUCCUUCCUGUGGCAUUGGGGUUAACAGAAGUAGUCUGAUAUCAUACCAUUAGCAAAAACAGACUACUCCAGUUGGUCCAGUCAGCUUAGCCUAUCACUUUAGGUAAGCUACAAGGGAAGCCGUUUUCUUAUAAGGCUGCUUGGAGAGGCAGAAUAACUUCAUGGUUAAGGUGUGGGUGUUGGAGUCAUAUUUCUUGGGAUCACACUUUUGCUCCACCAACUUCAUCUUCCAUAACUUGUGCAAAUUACUGAACCUUUUUUUGUUCCCUAACUGUAAAACAUGGAUCCCAUAGAGUAGUUGUAAAGAUAAGUGAGAUAGGAAGACUGAACAUAGCACUUGGCAUGUUAAGAACUCAGUCAAUGUUAGCUAUUGUUGUUAGUGGGAGUAGAAUCAAAUAAAAGGGAAUUUUUGAUUAUUUUAUUAGGCCCAUCUUAUAAUAUUUUCAGCAAAUACUUUCUUUAAAUAUUUG